rnacentral:rRNA from 3 species
GACCCCAGGUCAGGCGGGAUUACCCGCUGAGUUUA